GACGAACCGAGCGAACGUUGUUCGGAAUAACUGGGCUUAAAGGGCGCGUAGGCGGGCCGCCAAGUUCGAGGUGAAAUCCUCCGGCUCAACCGGAGAACUGCCUCGAAUACUGGAGGCCUCGAGGCGGGUAGGGGCACGCGGAACUGUGGGUGGAGUGGUGAAAUGCGUUGAUAUCCACAGGAACUCCGGUGGCGAAGGCGGCGUGCUGGACCCGAUCUGACGCUGAGGCGCGAAAGCCAGGGGAGCAAACGGG
rnacentral:rRNA from 1 species